GGGCCGAUAGUUCAGUUGGGAGAAUGCCUGGUUCGCAGCCAGGAGGUCGGGGGUUCAAAUCCCCCUCGGUCCACCA
rnacentral:tRNA from 1 species